rnacentral:miRNA from 1 species
AAUUUAAAUAUAACAGCGUAUAGCCGCGCGGCUAUACUAUUUCUGUUUGAAAAAAUUAAAAACAGAGUAUAGCCGCGCGGCUAUACGAUUUCUGUAAACCAAA